rnacentral:SRP_RNA from 1 species
AAUGGCAUGUGCCUGCAGUCCCAGCUACUUGGGACUGGGGUAGGAGGAUCACUAGCGCCCAGGAGUUCUGGGCUACAGGGUGCUAUGCCGAUCAGGUGUCCACAUUAAGUCUGGCAUCAUCCCUGAUGAUCUCCCAGGAGUAGAGGACCACCAAGUUGCCUAAGGAGGGGUGAACCAGCACAGGCUGGAAAUGGAGUAGGUCAAAACUCUCAUGAUGAUCAGUAGUGGGAUUGCACCUGUCAAUAGUCACUGUAUUCCAGCCUGGGCAACAUAGCAAGAUUCCAUCUGU